rnacentral:lncRNA from 1 species
AUGGAAAGAAUUUUGUCUGAUUUAGCACAUUUUCAUAUAACUGUUAUAACUGUUUUAUCUGGCUUUAAGAAUGUAUCUAAUCAUGAUUUUUUUGAGGGGAAUAACCUGUAUUUUUGUACUUUUAUAGGCCAGAGGGAGGAACCAACAGCUUGGAAAUUCAACCACGUGAUCUGGCGGGAUGGGCAUUUUCCUGACCUACUUUGUAGAGGCCCAAGGUCCCUUAUUUUAGGAAGACCCCAAAUCCUCUCCUGUCUUGUUGGGCUAUGUUGGUACAUGUAUUAGACCUGUGCUUUUAUCUUUCAAAGUGAAAGAAAAUUAAACAUGAAGUUUUCAGGGUAAUUACAUGUGGCACAUGUUCUCAUGUCAUUAUUAAUGAUCAUAACAGUUCUAAGAUUCUCAUCUUCACCAGACACUAGCUCAAAUCCAGUUCUUGAUCUUGGAUUUCCAGCUUGUGGAACUGUGAGAAGUAAAUGCAUGUUUAAGCUACCUGGUCUUGGAUAUUUUUAUUUCAGCAAGGAGCCUGUUCUUAAUCUGUGUGUAUCCACGCUAUAUGCCUGGAUGAUCACAGUGAACAUUCCUCUGGUCUUCAGUUCAGUUCAGUUCAGUCGCUCAGUCGUGUCUGACUCUUUGCG